rnacentral:rRNA from 1 species
UACGUAGGGUGCAAGCGUUAAUCGGAAUUACUGGGCGUAAAGCGUGCGCAGGCGGCUUUGCAAGACAGAUGUGAAAUCCCCGGGCUUAACCUGGGAACUGCAUUUGUGACUGCAAGGCUGGAGUGCGGCAGGGGGGGAUGGAAUUCCGCGUGUAGCAGUGAAAUGCGUAGACAUGCGGAGGAACACCGAUGGCGAAGGCAAUCCCCUGGGCCUGCACUGACGCUCAUGCACGAAAGCGUGGGGAGCAAACAGG